GGACUACACGGGUUUCUAAUCCUGUUUGCUCCCCACGCUUUCGUGCAUGAGCGUCAGUGUCGACCCAGGGGGCUGCCUUCGCCAUCGGUAUUCCUCCACAUCUCUACGCAUUUCACUGCUACACGUGGAAUUCUACCCCCCUCUGCCGCACUCAAGUCUUGCAGUCACAAACGCAGUUCCCAGGUUGAGCCCGGGGAUUUCACAUCUGUCUUACAAAACCGCCUGCGCACGCUUUACGCCCAGUAAUUCCGAUUAACGCUCGCACCCUACGUAUUACCGCGGCUGCUGGCAC
rnacentral:rRNA from 1 species